CUUGGGUUGGAAGGGACCUCAAGGAUCAUCAAACUCCAACUCCCCUGCCAUAGGCAGGGCCCUCAACCUCCACACUUAAUUGUAGAAUACUUUAGUAUUUAAACAUUUAAUUAAAUUAACAUUUAAUACUAGAAUACUUUCAUCCCAGCUCUACUGGGGAGAAACAUUUCCAUAAACACCCCCAGAAACAGAACAACCUCAACUUGUCAAAUAACAACUGUGGUACCCAACACAUGGAUAACUACUGCGUUAAAUCCAGAUAUAACACAACGAGGAUCUGGGGAAAUUAAGGAUUUCUAGUAGUAGAUUUCUUUAAUUCUUGGGAGACGCAGCAUUUGCAGCCUUCUGCUCCCAGCAUCUGUGAAACAGACCAAGGAACAGAGCAGAACAAGUGUUGGCCAUAUCUCUGAGAUUAAAGACCAUUGUAUGGGAGUUGCUAAGCCACGGCCUGAAGCGGUGAUUGAGCACCUGGUGAAGGGAUGCAGCCAGCCCUGGGAGCACAGGUGGAAGCAAUUCAACCUCGUGACUGGAAGGGGUGGACCCUGUCUCCAUCCCCUCCUAACCUCAUUUAAGGGCUGGCAGCCACAAGGAAAGGGUGCUUCUGUGGAGAUCCCUCCUUUUGGAGUGUUUAGUGAGCCCUGAUCAUUGGAUGGGUGACCACAAGUCUUCUGCAAGUGCUGAAAAGCAGUUUGCUGCCCCUGCAUCACCAGCUGUGCAGACACGUUUAGUACCUGUGCUCAAUGGACGGUGAGUAGCCACCUUGUGCUGAGUGGUACCUGGGGGGGAGACUGAGCAUGCAGCCUCUGCUAGGUGCCAUGCAUGCCUUAUUCUGAUGUAUACAAAGGCUGAUGGGAUCCGGCCCAAAGGUGUAGGUGGGAGAAUCAUUACAAGAUGAUGUGCUGGGCUCUGCUUUAGAAGCUGGGAUUUAUGUUGGAGCUCUUCCUUCUGACCUGGAGCUGCCUUGCAAGCUGCCAUUGCUCUGACUUUCUCAAUGGAACCUCAUGGGUGGUGAAGUGAGUUGGGAAAAUCCAAACCAAAACUGCUUAAAGGUAAAAAGUCAUCUGGGAACGUUGGUCAGCUGCUGAUAGUAAUUAAAUUCCAGGCUUUUUUAAUCUGAAAAUUGUAGCAAUGUAACUUUAACUUUUCAUAAGCUACGCUCUACAUGCACAUUCAUAAGCCAGUUCCCUUAAGCUCAGCUGAGAUCUCUGUAUUUUACAAGUUAUUAUGGGCAACAGAUUAAUAUUAAAAUUAAUACUGGAAGUAUUAGAAUUGUUUUUUCCUCUCUUCUGAGAAAUAAGAACACCUCUGGUUCUCCUCAUGCACGGAGGAGAACAUGUGUAUAUUCAAACACUUUAGCUGUGUGAUUGAUGUGUUUUAUCUUGGAGCUCUGUGAUCUUCUGUCUUGUCACCAUCUGCAUGAAGGUUUCUUUGCAGCUGCCUGGUUUCCUUCAUCCCUGUGGGCUCUGCUGGGAGUGGUUGGGUCCCCUGCCUGGGGUCUGAGGUAUAGGGUGUGGGCAGGUGGCCGUGGGACUGCAGUCAGAGUCCAGGCAUGGGAUGCUCUCAGCAGUUUUCCUGCAAAAGAAGAUGAAACAUGGAAUCAUAGAAUGGCCUGGGAUGAAAAGGACCACAAGGACCAUCUAGUUUCCACCUCCCUGCUAUGUGCAGAGUCACCAACCACCAGACCAGGCUGCCCGGAGCCACAUCCAGCCUGGGAAGAUGAAUGUGAAGAUGGAGAUGUCCUGAAGGAGGCUUCCAAAAGUCUCAGAGAGAACACACUGGUAUCUGAUGAGGCAGUGCAGGAAUUGUUACCCAGAUGAGGCCCGUUCUUGGCUCAACAUUGUUUGAGAUGCCUCUUCUGCCCUGCCUCGUGUUGGAAGAGCCCCUCAUAUCUGUGCCUGCCUCUUCUCCAUGGUGGUUUUAACACCAGGACUGCCACACCGCUCUGGCUGAGGCAACAAGGAAGGCCACAGCCUAACUGUAUUUUAAAUAACCACGUAAUGCUUCAGUAUCUCAACUACUUCUUGUGAAGCAGCUUCUAUCAUAUCUGAAAGAUGAGUUAUAAUUUGGGGAUUGGCCUUGGUGAUCUCCAGAGGUCCCUUUCAACCCUUAUGGUUCUGUGAUUAUCAGUCGUGGGUAAGCAGAACUGGCAGCUGAAUGAGGUACUGGGGCUUAAAUGAUGCACUGAGCUUGGGAAUGGUCUGAGGGCUGGUACACCUCUACAGCAGUGCUUUCUAUUUGUGUUCUUCAAGCACGUUUUUGCUGGAGAACACACAGGGCCACACAGUGAUGGAUGGGGCGUGCUGUCAUUUUGAGUCACCGGCAUUUUGGGAUGGAAUAGGAAAGCUCCUUAAAAGCAGCCAGUGUCACAUUUGCAGCUUCAUUUUCAUGGGCGAAUAUUGCUUUGAGACUAAUGUAAGCUCUAUGUAUUAUUUGGUACUGAAAGUGUGCUAUGGAAUUUCAUUUCAAAGUACUCUCAGGGUCAUUUAUGCACAUAUAAUGGGUGGAUAAGUCAAACAAAGAGCCCUUCUCUGCCACUCUGGGCACCAGGUCACGCUGAGGCAUCCAUGCUGGGAGCCAGAAUAGAUACCAGCACAAGUUUGCUGCUUCACUAUCCUGCUUUCUGCUCCCAAUACCCAUCUGCUCAGCUCUGCUUCUGCAGAGCACGGAGGCAGUGGCUGAGGUUUGUGAUACUGAGGAGGAGGGGAAGGUGGCGCAGUCAAUGGUGAGGGCUGAUGUGUUCUGGGGGCAGCUGGUAGGAAGCUGGCAUCAGUGUGCUCUGUGAGCCCACCCUGAGCUGGCAUUCCAUUGAGAGCCUUUUUAGAGGCUGUGUGUUGUUUUGUCUAAUAGAAAACAAGCUUUGCAAAUGAGCUGCUGAGCACUUUAGCAGGGGGUAUUUUUUUUUUUUGCAUGUUUGCAAUAUUCAGUUCAGGCAUUGACAGCUGUGAACUUCACAAUGAGACUGACACUUGAGAUCUGUGUAAAGGUCAAUUUUUUAAUUGUGCCUUAUAGAUAAAAGAAAUAUCUACAUCAAUAUAGUCUAAUCGCAUUGAUUUCAGCACGGAGUUUUCAAUUAUUAUUCAGAAUUCUCUGUUAUCUCGUUGCAGUCCCACAGCCUUAGCAGGCAGUGCAAUGCUCCAUGAGAUAACCUUUAACUCAUGCUGCUGGGUCAAAAGUGAGUUGUGAUGAGUACUCCCUGCCAUUCCACAGUGAACUGUCUGGGUAAGGAAGGCAUCUGUUGCUGCAGUGCAGAUCACGAUGCACUGAGGAUGCCUUCAGUUCUGAUACGGUAUAUUGGCUGUUUGCAGGUCUGCUGGUGCACAAGAUCUCGAGCCAAGAUCUCUUCCAUGCAGGAAGCUGCACUGCAGGGCAGUGGGAGGAAUGGCUGUGAUUAUCCCAUUACAAAGAGAAGGAUGUCUUAACAUUGGAAUCAUUGCUCGUGUUUUAGAGUGACCUUGUAAAGUAUGGUUCAUCACAGGGGGAUCGAUACUAAAUAAUAAUGCUUCUGCUUAGUUCCAGUAAAUACCUUGGGUUUAUCUAGGAGGUAUCACUCAGCUGUUUCCAACAGCUUCUACGUGAUCAGCUGAAGCCAAAACACAUCUGCUUCUCAUAGGUGUGCCUGUAGGACUCUGCUGUUAGUGGUGUUCAGGGUAGCCAGAGGUACUCCCUGUUGUCUCAGUAGGAAACCUUUCAGUGUAUGAAGGACAAUGUUUCCAUGAAAAUAUCAAUACAAUGGUGGGCACACCUCCAUUGACAGUUCACAGCCCAGUAUUUCCUCCGGGCUGUUGGAGUGUGGUAUAACGUCAAAGGUCUGCCUGUCCCUUGCUGGACAUGGGAUGGAGGUGCUUGGGGCUGCUAUGGGCUGGGCAGCCCAACAUCAUGUAUGUAUAUAUGGCCAGGCAGGAUGUGGCUCUGGGCAGCCUGGUCUGGUGGUUGGUGACCCUGCACGUAGCAGGGGGUUGGAACUGGACGAUCUUUGAGAUCUUUUUCAACCCAGGCCAUUCUAUGAUUCAUUCUUUGAUUCUGUAUAAACAUUAAUACAUACAUGUAUAAAAUAUUAUCACUCUGCAGCUGCAUUUGACGAUCAUCACAGAGCUUGUAUGCAUUCUAAUAAAUUCAUCAAAGGAAAAGAUCAGGCAGGUGCCAAGUGCUGCAAAAUGACCUGGACAAAGAAUGCAGAGGGUUUAGGAGUGCUUUGCAUAAAUAGGAGAAUUAUGUGCUUCACGGAGCAAGCAGUGUUCAGGUUUAAAGACACAGAUGUGUGACAGGCAUUCAGACAGUAAAUUCUGCACCUCCAGUGAUUCUGUGAUAGAAAUGUGUGCCUAUACCUCUGUAUAAUCUGCAACAAUCGAUAAAAUCAAGCAGGUUUUUUAUGAAAACAGUUUUAUUGGAAACUUUUUUAACAGUUUAAGACUCUCUCUUGUAAGUAACUGUCCCUGGACUACUGAGGUGGGUGGAGGGCUCCAUCCCCUCCUGGCAGCCCAGGGCUGAGCCCAUAUCCCUUUCAGGACCUGGCUGCAGCACCUGCUCGCUGCUUGGCAGCCUGACAUGCUUUCUGGUUUGUCCCUUUGGAUAGUGAUACGCUGAUUCAAGCUGUACAGGAGAAACCAACAACUCAACUCUGUAUUGUGAUGAGACUCUCAGUGCUGUAUGGGCAGAAUGGGGAAGCAUUCAAGCGCAUUUCCUUUCUCAGCACGUGGGAUACAGGAGGGCAGCAAAGCGUCAGCUGUGAUGAACCACUCAUGUAUCCUUCUUGUAUCUGCAGGUCAGCUGCUGUUUAUGUUCGUUAGUAAAUUAUGUGCCAACCUCAUCACGUCACCCUGCAAUCACAGUGCUGUGUUCCAUGUGUUCAACCUCCAUACAUUUGUGUUUAUAUUGAGCUAUUGCAUCCUGCUCAGGGGUGAGGGCACCUCUCUGCUGCUGCACAAAUUGGAGAACUUCUGCUUCACCAAAGCUCAUAAUGCCUUCAAGGCAUCGGUUCCUCUCAUAGCAUUUCCCAAUCAAAGUAUUAAAAUGAGAGUUUUAUAUCCAGCCAAUACUCUUCUCAUAGCUGAUAAAGGCAAAUGAGGAAUCAUUUAUAUGAUUUAGGUUAUGAGAAGAGUAUAGGAAGAGAAUAUAAGCAAAGCAUUUAUUUCCCACCUGUAUAGAAAUGAAGCUGCUGUUUCUAAUAAAUCCUACUUGAAAAGAUGGCACUGUUAUGAAAGAACGGAGAGAGAGACCUGAGGCUUUACCUUCGUGCUGCUCCAGCCCCCAGGAGUUCAAGUGGGUUUUCUCUUUCCCAGCCCUUGAAUCAGCAGGCAGAAACUGUGGGUGCUGGCUGAAAGGGGGAGGAUGCUCUGAAGUGAGAUGUAGCUGCACCACAGCCUGGAGGCAGAAGGAGGGCUGUGUGUGCUCAGGGCUGCUGGGGGGGGGGAGGGUGGUUUGGAAAGCAAAACGAUCCUAUUCAACAAUAGAGGAGAAAUUAGGAGCUUGAAAAUAGCAGCAAAUUGGAAUGAAAAGAAUGCCAAUUACCAACUUUGAUCCCUCUUUUCUUUAUUUUUGUUUGAAAGAAAUAUUUUGUGAUAGACACAUCUUGAAGUUUUCCACUUUUCUUUUGUUUUAAGCAGUGGGAGAUUUGGUAAACCUGUCCUUUAUCCUGCAAAUUCCCACCCUGAACCCUUUGUCCUAAAACUUCUGACUAAUUUCUAGGUAUUUUGAAUACUUAAGUUUGAGAAGACGUGGGAACUGACGACUUCUGUCCUCCGAGGAGAUGGCAUGAAUUACUGGUAGGUAGAGGUGGCAUGGGGGGCAGUGAUGGGGUUGGGGGGGAUGCGGUACUGUGUUGGGCAGCAGCUCACUGCUCUGACAGUAAAUCUUGGUUCCAUCCUUGGCAAAGUUCUGCAGGAAGGGCACCUCUGCACAUGGCUAGGGGAGCAGGCUGCUGCUACUGAGGCUACCCAGUGCUGGUUAUAACAACCGAUUGUAGGUUGUUAUACAAUACAUAGAGGUUGUACAUAUAACAAUACAUAUAACAACCUACAAUCGGUUGUUAUAACCACACGGAUCAGGCCAGUUUUUCCCUACAAUAUAUGUGUGGGGGCAAAAGUGGCUUAAACAACAAAAGAAAGUUGCUGUAAUGUUAUUUUUAAGAUUUCUGAGAGUAUUUCUCCUUCCAAACGCAGUGAUGUUAUCUCUGUUAGUGACAUCACACCUAAAAGAGAGAUGCCAUUGGGGUUAAAGUUAAUCCAUUCCCAUGGUGGGAAUGGGGCUGCUCCAACCCGGAAGCACAGUGAAUGCAUCCCAAUUCCUACAUCACCCUAAUUUCCACAUAAGGCUCUGACAGCUCUCUACUGCUUGACACGAGCUACCAGGGCUGGUGAUUAUUCAUUUGUGCUGGCUGUUAGUGAUAGUAAUAAAAUGUUGACAAUGCCUUCGGGUAAAGCUUUCAAAAACGCUUUUUAAUAAACUGUGGAAACUGUUGUUUCAGCAAUUGGAAAAUAAUUAAGAAGCAAUUACAGAAACAAACAGAAAUCCUGUGCGUACAGCCAGGCCAUUAAAAUAUGUUCUCUAAGAAAUUACCACAGCCACGCUGGAAAGAAAAGCAACAUUUAAAUAAAGUUAUGGUUAUAACAAACUAAAAAGGAAGAAAAAACCAAAGCAAUUCGUGCUGGAAAGAGUAAGUACUCAUCUGCCCCCCCCCCACACACUGUCAAUCUAUGCUAGUUUCUCUUUCCAUAAUUUUCUUAUGCAGAGUAAUAGUUGUACAUUUUGCACUCCUUUUUCUUACUUUGUUUUUCAGCAAGCAUGGGCUGCUAUGUGACUGUGCUGCAAACGGGAGUGUGUGCAAGUGGGACACGAGGGGGGAACAGCUUCAUGCCUCCCUUCUCCAGCAAGCAGGUAACUGUGCAUUGAAGUACGCCGGUAUUCUGCUGUUGUGCUGGGAGUGCCUCCUGCUCCACGUAUGGCAGAAUGAGACCCAUUGCUCACCACCCCACACGGCAUAUCGCUGCAUCGAUCAAACGCUGCUGCAAUAAAAGUCAGGCCCUAUCCAUGUGCCAAUAGGGAGGGAUGUUUCUGAUUAUAAAUUCUCUAUGCAGAGUGCUGGCUAGCUCAUUGAAAAGGCAGAAAUCAAUGACAUUAGCACUCAUAAACCACAUGCAUUGUGACUGCUUCUCAGAACAGCCCUAAUUGGCAUAUGUCUGUCUUAUUGGCCUGCCUCAUAACAAUGCCCCAAAUGAUUCAUGAGACCAAAUAAGAAACAGGUGCAACCAAAACAGCACUCUGUGCCAAAAAUUCAUCUCUUAUGUAAGGAGAGGGGCCAAGGGCAUGGCUCAAACUGCUCCUUAUUGACUCCAGGAUGUGACUUCAACUCCCUGAAAGAAGCAUGUAGUGAAGUGGGGGUUGGACUCUGCCCCAGCAAUAAGAUGAGAGGGGAAUGGCCUCAGACUGUACAGGGAGGGUCAGGUUGGCUCUCAGAGCAAUGUCUGCUCCAGAGAGCGGCCAGGCGCGGGCACAGGUAGGGUGGGGGUCUCAGACAGCUUUUCCAGCCUGAAUGGUUCUGUGAUUCUAAUAAUGAGCUAUACGAGUCAUCCCAAGGGUGAACCUGCUAUCUAGUCACUGAAAUCUAUUGAGUGGGUAUUUGGCUUGCUUUUUUUAGGGUUAAUUUAUUUAAACCUGCAUGGGGUUGGAUUGAGGGGAAAAAAAGGAAAUCGAGCUGAUUACAGACUUUGUUUCUUAGUAGGAUAACUGAAACACUGGUCUAACUGUUAUUUAUUAUACAAAAUGGGCAUCUUGUGAUUUGCUUGAAAUGAAAAAUGGACUUGAAUGGCAUGGCCAUUGGUCACGGGCCAUGAAGAGGGGAUGAUGGCACUGCACGGUGAGCCACCACAGCCCUGCACCAUUCCAGCAAGGCACAUAUAAAAGCUUAAACGCUUGCCCCCCCCUCUUUGCCAUGUGGUCCAUUAAGUUAGGUGCAGGCAAAGGGCAUAUUUGUCAAAUGCACAUUGUGCUGACUCAGCAUUCUGGUUAUCUGUUGGGCAUUCAAUUUCACCCUGGUGCAAAGCCUUUUUAGUUUCCCUUGGCGAAUAAAUUACAAAUGCUAAUUUCUGCUCAGUUGAAGAGAAGAUUAAGGCAGUGUAACAGACAGGCAUGCCAAAAUAUUUAUUGAAUAAGUUGCAAAAGCGAAACAAAAAGGCUGUGUAUUUCAAACUGAGUGCUGAGCAGGGCUCCAAGCUGAAUUUAAGAGCAGCUCCUUUAUUCACCCAGAAUCCAAUUUAGUGCGAGUAUAUUAUAUCCAGCAUCUGUAUGCUGAAAUCCACUGCUGAAUAAGCUUCUAAAAUUCUAUUUUCUGCAGUUUCAGUGCAUACUUGCACAUAUGUUUCUUAGUAAAUCACAGUAAUGACCCUAAUUCCAUGAGGAGGACCUAAAGCAAAUGCUGCCCCUGGGCUGCUACUCACCCAUCCACAACUGCUCUACGAGGUUAGCACUUGUUUUCUUCUCUAUUUCCAUCCAGACUGCUGUAACUGAAUGGGGAGAACAAUCUGAGAACUGUUAGAGAAGUAUUUGGGAUGUAACAGCUGCAUUAAUACCUAUUUGGGGUCACAGUUGGAGAAACGUGCGGUUCUUUCAGUUCACGCAGACGUGGUGGGAUUUCUGUUAGGCAGCCACAGAGAAUUAAAAGCUCACUUUGAAAAGCCCUGGAUGGGGCUGAGUGACAAAUUGAGCUGCUUGUAGAGUCACCUGUAUUUUUAUAUGCGCACAGGAAAGGCAGAUUUUGUUCUGUUUCUGACAAGCAGUUACUGUAGCACCCUUUCAGUUUUGCAGGCAUUAGAGACUUCAGUUUGCUGCACAAAAUAAUGAGUUACGCUGUGUCUGCAUUAAACAACAGAGAUACAUGUCAGCAUUUCCAUGUCAUCCUUCUGUCACAGUAAAUGAAUGACAGUACAACAUAUGGGCUCAUUAGGUAACAUCCAACAGGUUAAUAGCCAUCGAUGUGUUGGAUUUCAGUUAUGCGUGUGUAAGUGUUUUUAGAUAUGCCAGCAAAUGAAGCCGGAGGGAAGAAAAUUUCACAAAAGCCAAAAUAAUUUGAGAGAGCAUUUGCAAAAAUGAAGUGCAGAAUUUAACCAUUUCAGUGCAUGUUGAGCUGCAAGCAGUAGGAACAGCCUCGUGCAGUUCUCAUUUUCAAUACUAUCUGCUCAGAGAAGUUCAAGUGGAUAAUAAAUACACUUCAACAAAUAAAGACCUGUCUGAAGAGAGCUUCUGGGGUUGUGGGAAUAAAACCCUGAGGGUAACUUCAGUCCGAUCACUGCUAAAAUCCAGACUGUAACUUUGAGGUGAUAAACAAAUGAGACUUAAGGAGCCACAGGCCUUGGGAUUAAGAGUCAGAAUAAGAACAUGAGAUACAUUUACUUCACUGUACAAUGUAGAUAUCCCAUUUAAAAAUUAACAUUGAUGCACUGACAAUGCAUUGCUAGUUAGGAAAACACAUGCAGUCAUUGUUCUCCCUGCCUCUUUUAUUUCACUUAUACUAACCCCUCGGAGCAGCCGAUGCUCACAACCUCCUUCCUUCCCAGAAGUCUCCAGGAUCUUGCUCCAGUGACAUCCACUGCCAAUGUUUCUCCACUUAGAAUACGUCCUGGCAUCCUUGUGAUUAUCUUCUGCUGUGCUCUGUUCAGUGGAUAAACCGGAGGCAGUUACUGACAUAUAAAACUCUCAGUGGUCAGAGCCACCAAAGCUCUGUAGGUGGAUGUGAGUCUGUGAGACUGGCUUUGUAAACUUGGGUUGUGUGUAAAGGGGAGAUGUUUCUUCAGUGCCUUGCAACACCAAUGAUUGCUAAAACCAACAUGAAGCCCGAACUGCCCCAUGCAGCGUUUGCUCUCAGCCCCUGGAAGUAGUCUUGAAUUCUCAUGAUAGAAGGAUGUGCUCAUAAUUCAGAAAGUAAACAUACACAGCUACCGCUGUGCCUUUAUGGGGAGAGUGACAGAGCACUGGAACAGGCUCCCCAGGGAGGUGGUGGAGUCUCUUUGUAUGGAGAUAUUCAAGACCUGUCUGGACACCUACAUGUAUGACCUAUUAUAGGGUACCUACUCUAGCAGGGGGUUAGACUUGAUGAUCUUUUGAGGUCCCUUCCAACCCCUGUGGUUCUGUAAUACACACAAGCAACAUCUACAGUAUAUGUAGCUUGAAGUACAUAGUCUUAUAUGUAAAUGUUUAUAUAAACAUGAUUUAAAGUCUGAUCAUAUAAACUAUUUCUACCAGCUUUCUCUCUUGAUCCUGUAAAGCAAUGCACUGUAGCAUGCGCUGUCUGUCUGUACCAUACCCUUUGGCCUGAUAUCUGUGGCUACAUACCUAUAGUGGCUAUCAAAGAGGGGGUGGGGGAUCCUGCUUUGCAACAGGGACAUGAUUAAGAUCCCCUUAGCACAUUGACCAUGAUGUCUGUAGGCCAUGCACCUAUUGCUGGGGGGACUACCAAUCCUCCAACCUCCAAUAAUCUCCCCUAGGUGCAAGUAGGCCACACCACAUUGGUCCUACUUGCACUUUCCAAGGCCAUUCUAUUUUAUGGGUACCAGGUUCUAGGUUUUCAGGGCCAGGGAGCAGAUUAUUUUAAUUGUCAGUUCGGGGUCUUACCUGAUUAUCGGUGCCCAUAAUUUGGAACCUUAGCAGGGAACCCCAUGUUGCCUGCAGCAUCUUUAGGGCACUGGGUCUGCCAUCUCUAGGCCUUUCAUUCAGGUUCUGCAGGGCUUCAUAGAGUCU
ensembl:lncRNA